UACGGUCAAAUUACGUUGAAACAACGGUUCCCGAAUGAUCACCGAAGUUAAGCAACGUCGAGCUUGGUAAGUAAUUAGCUGACCGUUUGGGAAUACCAGGAGUUGUAA